rnacentral:tRNA from 2 species
GACCGUUUAGCUCAGUGGUAGCAGCGCUCGCUUCACACGCGAGAGGUCCACAGUUCGAUCCUGUGAAUGGUCA